GUUUUGUGGAUUAAGUUUCAAGUUUUUACAGGAUCACCUAUUCACCCCCCUCUAGGUGCUCUCAAUUACAAAGUUGCCCUGAUGAAGUUGACAUUGAUCUACUAGUGCAUAUAAAUAUAACGAAACAGUCCAAAACACCUACAAUCCCAGUGGGUCAACACAGUGAUGUUGGCAAGAACAUGACGAGCAACAUAAACGUCACUCCUCAAGUAACACCAGAAUACACAAUCAACAUACCACAUACUGAAUCUCGCUCGCCGAUAUUUGAUGCGACGUCGCAAAUAAAUUGUCCAGCCGGUGGCAGAUUCAGAUCUUCCCGACAGUGGCCCAUGUUUUGACCAGACUCCAUUUUAAUAUGUUUCUGUUGAAACCAAACCAGACAUAAACACUUUCCAGGUUGACAAUGACUCACAUGAUUCGGAGAUUCAAUGUGUGCGAGCUCUCCGCGACUAUUUGUGUGGUACGCGAUCUGACAAUAGCAUGUAUAAAGUUCGCUCAAUUCACAAUUGUGGAUAUACUGCUACUCAAACAGUCAUUUACUCACUAAUUGUUAUCAAAAUGUCCACAAAAACAUAAUAGACUAUGGUGAAUACUGUGCUACAUGUUCUGAUAUAUACGUAUCAUUCGCCGACGGGAAGUGCCUCGAUAAUGUGUUCAUGUAGUGCUUCAUUCAAUGUGUUGACGAUGAUGCCAUAAAUCAUCAGCCUUCCAUGAGUUCCAGUAGAUUAAUUAUUGACGUUAACGUUGGGUCCCUACUGAAUUUCGAGGAAGAGGAACGAUACAGCAGAAACCCACAACCGUUUGAUGAAACUGUCCUACACACAUUUCUCGACAAUACAUUGCCCGAGACAGACAAAUUGGAUAAAUGCAAAUCAGUAACAAUAGUUUUACAAUUUGCAAUCAUGAUUUACGUUAAACGGUGCAUUUCACAUCUUCAUGCAUAACCAUAUAUGUUUUUGUUGAUCUUCAUGUUUUUUACACGAUCAGAUCAUGAUUCCCAUGCUAAGUAGGGGGCACUGGACACUGUAUGUUGUCAAUACAGUCAAACGGUGCAUUCACAUUUUAGAUUCUAAUCCCUAUGUGCCAAAACUUGGUGGUACUACUUGGAAGGAUUACCAUUUCGCCCAAGUGGACUUAGGUGGUAGAAAGUUACCAUGGUCUAAGGUUAUGAUGAGUAGGUUAAACAAAGCCCUGCAACAUGUCUGCCCUAGGUCAUGCUUUCCAAAAUUUGGCAACUUUGCAAUUGACUUGCCACCAAACUGUCCUGCCAUGGAACAUGCUCCAAUGAUUGUGGGUUUUAUGUUAUGAGAUACAUUCACUAUUAUGACUGCAUCGAAGGAUCUGUCAAGUCAUACAUACAACUAGUACGUACAAAUUUAUCAUUUCGUUUUAUAAUUGGCCCCAAGUCAGCAUACGGUACUUAUGUCUAGCUAACACAAUUUUAUUGGCUUGCAGGACAACACCAGGGAUCUACAGUCUCUUGCACUGUAAUACAUCACAUUCCAUCACAAGAACAAAGCCAUCUCGCUCCUUGCAGACAUCCAAAGAUUCAAGUUCUCACGAAUUUAGUCUAGUUUAGUUAUGUUAGAUAUUAUGUAUACAAUAUUUUCAUAAACUUCAUCUUGAGUUAUUUGCGUAUACUAAGGUAAUGACGGUAGAACAAUCAGGUGUCGUUGUUGAUGUUUCGUAUGUUAUGUCAAUGACAACCUGGGAACAGUAAUGUCUAAACUGCAAUGUUUCCUAUGUUUUUUAACUUCAUGUGUGUUUUCUUUAUUUGAUUAUGCUUCUUUUGUCACAAGUUUA